CGAAUCUUUAAUAAAACGACGCCGUUUUGUUAAUUUUUUGGGUCGUUUCAAUUUUUUUUUGAAACAACGUCGUUUUGCUUGAGCAUUCUAGCUCUGUAUCAAACUCAUCUUUCUCUUGUAAUAAAGAAACAGAAAAAACUCAUCUUUCUCUUUCGAUUUUUCACUUCACCACAUAACCCAACUACAUAACCCCAACUGCAAAAUCCCUCAAGCUGUUAUCUUCCUUCUGCAUAAACGAUCUUUCUCUUUCAGUCUUGUUAUGCCAAAACACUAGAAAGAAAUAUCAUGUACCUGCAGAAUUGAAUAAAUAAUUGAACAAGGGAGGCUGGCAGAUUUAGUUAAAGCGUGAUGUCCAAAGUGACAGUUCCACAUAUGGCAAACUUCCCAAAGGAUUGCUAGUUCCAUCCCAUUAUAAUUUGAAAACAAUGAUUAUGUAGUUGAAAACAGAUUUAGUUUUUAUAUAAUAUGUUGAGUCGAAAAUUGCAAUUUAUUACUUACAAUUACUAAUCUCUGUCACUGGUGGCAGUGGUGAUGGUAGUGGCGGUGGUUGGCUGUCGGUGGUGGUUGUUUCAGUGGCUGCGUACGCAUGGAUUCUGGAUUCUGGAUGGUGGAUUGAGGACUUUGAAUGGCUGUGCUGCACUUAAUCGAUAAAGAAAAGGGGCUUGGCAAAACGGUGUGUUUCAUUUUCGGGGUCUGACCUGGGAUUUGACCCGAGACAAACAUCAUUUUCCUUAUUUCCAUGGUCAUCUUAUUUUCUAAAAUAACUAAAUGGAAUCUUACAGAAUUAGAGUGCUUGACUUCUUCAUACAGUGCUUGACUUCUUUUUACAGAAUUAUAAAGUGAAAAAAGAAAUUAAGAAAUUAAAUACUUUUCAUGCGAGUGGAGAAGAUUGGGUAGCGAUUACAUUAAAUAAAUAAUAAUAAUUUAAAAGUACAGCACUUUAAUAAUCUGAUUCCCAAUCAUAUCGGUAUAAAAAAUUCUGUAGAUUUAUUGAAUAACUAUUGAUUUUACUUUUGUAAUUUCUUUCUAAAAGUAAGGUAAACAUUUUUAUUUUCUUUGCAUUCGAGCUUUCUUUCUUUUGCGCUGGCCUUCACACUCUUGACCGUAUUUCAUGGGGCACAUUCAAUCUCAAUCUUCUGCAAGUUUGUGGCAGUUUUUUUAAUUACGAACUUUUGUAGGAUUUUAUGGAGAUGAUACUUUUAUAUACAUUUUUCUUUUCUUUUUUUCUUCCGUGAACAAAUUAAAAAUUUAUUUUUUGUC
rnacentral:lncRNA from 1 species